AAUUACUAUGCUAGUUUUCCAGGAAAUAUUGUGAGAUAAAACAUUAUAAUUACCAUGCUAGUUUUCCAGGAAAUAAUUGGGAUAAAACAUUAUUUUCCAAUAACCAUGCUAGUUUUCAAAAGCCCAAACUUGUUUUUUUUUAUCUGGUGAUUCAAUUGCCAAACUUGAUUUUAAAGCUCUGAAUCAAAUAUAUACUUAAAAACAUUAAAUUUUCAUGCCAAUUAUUAACUUAUUCACUCAAAAGCUUGAAUAAAAUUGUUGUGGGUUUGAAAAGGGACAUGUUAAAAUUGAUGCAUUAACCAUAUAUGUAGCUUCAUAAGAGUAGGGGGCCUCCUCCCUUGGCCACAACAUCUGCCACUGCUAAAAGCACUGACUGUCAUGCUAUUACC
rnacentral:lncRNA from 1 species